rnacentral:misc_RNA from 1 species
CCGCUUAUUGAUAUGCUUAAGUUCAGCGGGUAGUCCUACCCGAUCCGAGGUCAAGUUUCAUUUCUCAAAUGAGUUUGCGUGGGGCUAUAGUCCGCGCCGCGAGCCUCCUAAGCGAGAGAAAUUGUGCUACUGCGCUAGGGGCCGCUGCGUGUCCGCCACUAAAUUUCGGCUCCGGCCGCCUAUAUAAAAGCGGCGCCCGGUGCCAACGCCCCAGGGGAACCCUCCUAAAAGAAUUUCCUGGGAAGGGGUUGAAAUGACGCUCGAACGGGCAUGCCCGCCGGAAUGCCAGCGGGCGCAAUGUGCGUUCAAAGAUUCGAUGAUUCACUGAAUUCUGCAAUUCACAUUACUUAUCGCAUUUCGCUGCGUUCUUCAUCGAUGCAGCUAAGCCUUC